AGGCGGGCAGCCCUGGCCAGCAGCUCUCGGUCCUGUGGCGGGAGGCUGAAGUCGACGUAGGACCCGGUGGGGAGGCGCUGGGGUGUGGAUCGGGUGCCUUUGUCAAAGCCUGACGAUUCAAGAUUUGGCUCUUGUACUUUUCCCGCCAGUCCUCUACAAUGUACUGGUGGUAGGGGUCAUUGGAGUGUUCCUGUCUCUUGGAUUUCACGGUGCUCACCAGGAUGGCCACGAUAAUGAAAGAGAACAUUCCAAUAAUCACCAUGAGGUACAGGAUGACAUAGUAGAAGUUCUCAGCAUCAACUUUGGCUUGGAGGGCCUCUUGCUCAGCUGUCGUGUUCCGGCGCCAAUUGUCCAUGUGGCACAUUGUCCCAAGUAUCCUAAAGGGAGGGGUGUGUACAUCCAUAUUUGAAAGAAGCAUUUUAGGUAAGUGAUGCCAAGAAACAAUCUGAGAGAUUAUUCCUAUGUUUCAAAUCCAUCUCUGCUUUUCAUUCCCACUGGCACUGCCCAGCCGCCAGCAUCUCUCACCUGGAUAAUACAAUGCCAACAAUGUAAUACAACACAACCCUCCCCAGAGCCAUCUCUUUGGGGUUAUAUGUGACCCUCUUUGCCUUGAAUAGCCAUCAAUGUGCCUUUUUUUUUUUUUUUUUUCCGGAAUCUCGCUUUUGCCCAGGCUGGAGUGCAGUGGCAUAAUCUCUUCUCAUUGCAA
rnacentral:lncRNA from 10 species